CCCUUAGAUGUUCUGGGCCGCACGCGUGCUACAAUGGUCUUCGCAAACGGAUGCAUUCUCGAAGGAGAAUGCCAAUCUUGGAAUCUAUGCCUUGGUCGGGACAGUUGCUUGCAAUUUUUCGACUCGAACCAGGAAUUCCUUGUAAUCGUGAUUCAUCACAUCACGAUGAAUACGUCCCUGCCCUUUGUACACACCGCCCGUCGCUCCUACCGAUCGAAGAGUUAGGUGAAUUGUUUUGAUCGAUAAGAUUUGACUAUGGUCAACUCUCGUUGUGAAAUUCUGUGAAUCUGACUGUUUAGAGGAAGGAAAAGUCGUAACA
rnacentral:rRNA from 1 species